rnacentral:lncRNA from 1 species
GACAAUAUUUUUUAGUAUUUAUUUUAGGCAACUAAAAUUUAUUGUGUUAAUACUAAAUUUGUUACUCUUACAUGUUACUUUUUAUCCACAUCUUGGUUGAUUAUGUAUCUUAGGAAAACAUGACAUCAAAGUUGAAAGGAGUCUUCUUACCUCCAACUAACAAAGCCUCAGAUGUACCGAGUCCUUAAACUCACUCUGAGCCUAACCUCAUGCCUCACCUUCCCCUCAAACGCUUUUCCAUCCUUGUUGUGUUUGACAUUUAUUCUCCCUUGUAGACUCAGGUUAUAUACAUGCCCUACCUCUACCGUGACUUCCCUCGGUAUCACAGACUUCUGAGCUCUCAUCCUCUGAGCUUAUACAAUACUUACCGCCUUUGAAACGUAUUUGGAAUUUCUCUUCUGCCAACUUGGUUUUCUUUUUUUUUUCUUUUGUGUAUGGGAGACAGCAAGGUCUGACCUGGCCCAGCUCUGUUACGUGGCCCUUUGCCCCAGCAAGAUUGUAAGCUUGAAGACUCCAUUUUGUUCAUCCUUUUCUAUCCAUGUGACUUGCAUUUGGUUUGCAGUGAAUAAGUGUUGCUGACUAGGUAUCAUUGUAUUGCUUGCUUAACAAUCAUGAUUAAAAGCAAAAAAACUUGAUAUUAUCAUAUUACUGUGCCUUUUCCCCCCUAUUUUAUAAUUUUUUUCACUGAUUUUUCCAUUAUUUGGCUUAAUAUACUUGCUUGGUGUUUUAUAUUGAAACUCUGUAGAGCUCAACUGAAGAAAAACCUACUCUUUGUUAAUGCCUAUUGAAUGAUUCUAGUUGACACUGAUAACUUGUUGGUUCCAAUUUGUUUCACUAUUAACUUAAAUUUAAGUUAAUAAAGAUAUUAAUGAAUUCAUUGAAUUUAUUCUGUCAUUCUCAUGCUU